GUUUUAAAUAGUUGUAGAACCACAGACAAGUUAGUUCACAUUCUUUAUUUUAUGAUCAUUUAUGCCAGAGAUGAGCAUCAUUGUAAAGUAUAAUCCACCAAUCGGUGGAUUGUUCACCCAUUAAUAGGAUUGUGAGCUGAGAUUAGACUGUUGUAAAACAGGUUAGUUUUACCCUACUGAUGAUGUGCUGCAAUAUUAUUUUCUUCUAUAGUCGUGUGUCCAAUUUCUGUAUUUAUAAUUCUUUAAAGCAAUAAAAUUUGUGUGAGCUAUGUAACUCAUAAAUGCACAUUUUUCCCCGUUCACUUAUUUAUUUUCCUCAUUUCUCCGCAAUCACCCUACAGCCGCUUGCGGCGCUUUACUGCCCCCACUGGUCGAGCACGGUAACUAAGUAGGCUUACGUCACAUCCGGGUAAUCUGAUCGUUGAACCGCGUGUCGUGGCAGCAGCUACGAACAUUCGGCAUACGAAUCUGCUGCCAUCCAAUCUACGUUAUUUAUUUUAUGAUCCAGUUUACGUGUUAUCAUUAUUUACUAAGACAUGUAUCAAGCGACGAAUGCCAACAUGGAUAGGACUGACGAGGUGAAGCAAAGGGUUGCCCUAUUCAGGCCUCCUGACUAACAUCUGGGACUAAUGUGAAACUUGGACAAAAUGAAGAAUUCAGGUUUGACGAGAUAAAGCAAAGGCCUCCUGGUCCGGUCGUCCAGCUGACCUGUGAGACUCAUGUGGAACAAAGUAGAGAAUUCAGGGUUGUUCAACUCCCUGAACCAAACAGAAAAUGGUGCUGCAAAUCCUCAUACCCAGACCAUACAUAGGUGGUUGGUGUGCGAUAUCUCCUUGCGGUGGCCUUGAUGUCAACUUACCUUUUGAGGCCAUUUGUGGAUCGACCUGAGGGAAUCUACAGAGCAGGUCUCCUUGUGUAGGCGAAGGCAGAGGCAUGGACCUGAAUCAAGAGAUGGGCAGGUGAUGCCUCAUGAAGUUUUGAGGCCUUCCUUCAAAUUGUGUUGAAACAGAUUUGGAGCUUUGAUGCUUUAGUGAAAAGCAACAUUUUUCAAGUUAAACCAAUAUGUCACUAGAAGGUGUGAAACACAGGUCGCCAUUACAUGCAGACAAACUUGCCAAUGCUGUCAUUACAAACCAACAUUGUUCAAUAGCUUGGUGGUUAUUAUAUACACAAGUUGGCGCCAAAAUAACCAGUCAAAGCAAUGACAGCCACCAAUUCAUUUCAAACAGUCAAUACGCGCUGUGACGUAUAACGCUUCCAACGUUAUAGGUCACGUGAUAUUUGCAGAACGAUACAAGUGCCAAAGCACUAUUUAGAAGCAGUGUGAUUCGGGAAGUAUGACACAAGCUUUGAGGCUUUGGGCUCAUUUUACCAUAUCUACUUGUCACAAUUUUGAAGACUGUGGACUCGGGGCGUGACUCUCUGACUUUAGUAUGACUUAAAUGCUUUUAUAGUGAGUGUUUAAUGUCCCCAGUUAAAGUACUGUAUGCAACUAAUGUGAUCGUUCUAUAAUUUCCAUUAAGACAACAUCCCCUUUGAGUCUGCCUCAUUUAACUUCCAGUCAGGUUUAAGAACAAACAAUGAGGGUGUGGAUUACCUUUCUGUGCACUGACUAAAUCCUCAAUCCUCUGUCACCACUCUUUCUGUGACCAAGUCUUGUCAUACUGCUUAAAUAAAAAAAAAUCAAAUCUUAUAUGCGUUCAUUGUAUUUGCCAUAUAGCGUGUUACAAAUGGCAUUUUAUUUGGGAGACACUAAAAAAAAUGCUUGACUUCUAAGAACGUGAACAUUUCAAGCCUAUGACUUCGGACUUGAUUCGACCUCUUCUUGACUUGAGACGUGACUUGCUCCCACCACUGGGAGAGUCAAAUUGAGAUGCAUGUAUUUCAUAUACUGUACAUCCUGUCCAAUGUUUCAGUGAAAAAGAAAUAAAAUUGAUUUUAUACAUUAAA